rnacentral:tRNA from 1 species
CCCCACUUCCGCCUCUGCGCUCUGGGGCUCCAGGCGCCUUGGGCGGGCCAGAGGGCCGGGGCAUGGAGCGCCCUCGGGCGGACCCCAGUCUCGCGCUGCGGAUGACCUUGGCUGAGCCUGGACUUCCUCGUUGCACUAGCAAGCAGCCUGCAGGUUCCAUCCACUGAGAGCACAGCGAGGAAGCUGUCAGCACGACGGCGGACAAAGUGCAUGCUGCACUGCCCUCAUGACCUAGGUGGGGAGUGCUAUUGAGUGCACAACGUCUAGGUCCUCCCACCUGCGGUCCAACAACAGUGGACUCUCAGGCGAGGGCCCCUGAGAGACAUAGGUGCCACUUCUGAGCCCCGCCCCGCCCUAAGGAGUGGGUUUCUCUGCAACCCUAGGUUUUGCAGCCUCUCAGACUGCAUUGCUCAGAAAAGUGUGUGAAUCUCUUGUUACAGGUGGUGCUUCCCAGUACCUACCACAGUAGGACCUAUCUUCGAGGAGACACACCAAGGAAGCCUACUUGCUCUCAUACAUAAGUAGUCCUGCAGGGCCCUGCACACUUGGACAGCUCUCAGAUGCAGAAAAUCACAAAAGCCAGAAGCUUCACGUGAGCAGCCCGUUGUCACACCUUUUAUCUGUUUAAGGUCCCUCCCCGCAGGCUGGGUGGAAGUGCCUUUAACGCUGAGGGCACAUCUUUGAGCUGGUAUCUUGGUGACACAAAGUUUUCUUCUCUGGGGAGGACUGCACAAUGCUCACUAUAUUCUUUCCAACCCAGGGACAGUAGGGAGAUUGCUUGGAGCCAACAGGAAGAAGGGGAAAUUGGAAAGCACAGAGAAGUGGCAGUCUGUCCUUCACCUGUCCUGUAGUUAGCAGUGGUCUCAGUACAGACAUCACGGUCUUCCACUCCACUUACCUUUCAGGAACUCUUCCCAGCAGCACCUGGGUCUCGGCAAAGACACGGAGUAGGCUUUGGCCUAAGUGUCCCUUCUCAGCUUCAGGGUCCCCUGCUACCAUCAUAACUCUGCCUUGCCCUCCCAACUUCUCCAUUAAGCUGGAGAAAAACUGGAUUUCAAUCUUCCAGAAGCUUUUCAAUCCACCUUUACAAAGCCUCAUGCUUCUCACUUCUGCAGCAGCAGAAUGCCAAUUCCAAAUUACUGAAAUAAAACAGGAGCACACAAAACAGUGACUCUAAAAAUAAAUAACCUAUGGGCUGGGGCUGGGGCUCAGUGGUAGAGCACCUGCCUAGAAUGCAAGUGCGUGAGGCACUGGGUUAGAUCCUCAACACCAUAUAAAAUAAAGUUAUUGUGUCCAUCUACAACUAAAUAUAUAUACACACACACACAUAUAAAAACAAGGGCUGGGGAUGUGGCUCAGUGGUAGAGCACUCACGUAGCACGUGCGAGGCCCUGGGUUCAAUCCUCAGUACCACAUAACAAAAAUAAAGGUAUUGUGUCCAACUACAACUAAAAAAUAAAAUAUUAAAAAAUAAAUAAAUAAAUA